rnacentral:rRNA from 1 species
AGUAGCUUGCUACUUUGCUGACGAUCGGCGGACGGGUGAGUAAUGCUUGGGAACAUGCCUUGAGGUGGGGGACAACAGUUGGAAACGACUGCUAAUACCGCAUAAUGUCUACGGACCAAAGGGGGCUUCGGCUCUCGCCUUUAGAUUGGCCCAAGUGGGAUUAGCUAGUUGGUGAGGUAAUGGCUCACCAAGGCGACGAUCCCUAGCUGGUUUGAGAGGAUGAUCAGCCACACUGGGACUGAGACACGGCCCAGACUCCUACGGGAGGCAGCAGUGGGGAAUAUUGCACAAUGGGCGCAAGCCUGAUGCAGCCAUGCCGCGUGUGUGAAGAAGGCCUUCGGGUUGUAAAGCACUUUCAGUCAGGAGGAAAGGUUAGUAGUUAAUACCUGCUAGCUGUGACGUUACUGACAGAAGAAGCACCGGCUAACUCCGUGCCAGCAGCCGCGGUAAUACGGAGGGUGCGAGCGUUAAUCGGAAUUACUGGGCGUAAAGCGUACGCA